rnacentral:rRNA from 1 species
GAUGAACGCUAGCGAUAGGCUUAACACAUGCAAGUCGAGGGGUAACGUGUUGGAAGCUUGCUUCCGAUGACGACGACCGGCGGAUGGGUGCGUAACGCGUAUGCAACUUGCCUCACAGUGGAGAAUAACCCGGAGAAAUCCGGACUAAUACUCCAUACAUUCUUAAGUACGCUUGUACAUGAGAGGAAAGAUUUAUCGCUGUGAGAUAGGCAUGCGUCCUAUUAGGUAGUUGUUGAGGUAACGGCUCAUCAAGCCGACGAUAGGUAGGGGUGCCGAGAGGCAGAUCCCCCACAUUGGGACUGAGACACGGCACAAACUCCUACGGGAGGCAGCGGGGAUGAAUAUUGGUCAAUGGAGGAAACUCGGAGCCAGCCAAGGCGCGUGAAGAAGGUAUGUCCUAAGGAUUAUAAACUUCUUAGGCGAGAAAGUAAGGACUUCCACGUGAUGAGAGUUUGAAGGUAGCUAGAGAAUAAGUAUCGGCUAACUCCGUG